rnacentral:piRNA from 1 species
CUUGACAGUGGGAUGACGAUAAC